rnacentral:rRNA from 1 species
GACGAACGCUGGCGGCGUGCUUAACACAUGCAAGUCGAACGAAGAGCGACGGAAGCUUGCUUCUAUCAAUCUUAGUGGCGAACGGGUGAGUAACGCGUAAUCAACCUGCCCUUCAGAGGGGGACAACAGUUGGAAACGACUGCUAAUACCGCAUACGAUCUAAUCUCGGCAUCGAGGAUGGAUGAAAGGUGGCCUCUACAUGUAAGCUAUCACUGAAGGAGGGGAUUGCGUCUGAUUAGCUAGUUGGAGGGGUAACGGCCCACCAAGGCGAUGAUCAGUAGCCGGUCUGAGAGGAUGAACGGCCACAUUGGGACUGAGACACGGCCCAGACUCCUACGGGAGGCAGCAGUGGGGAAUCUUCCGCAAUGGACGAAAGUCUGACGGAGCAACGCCGCGUGAGUGAUGACGGCCUUCGGGUUGUAGAGCUCUGUUAAUCGGGACGAAAGGCCUUCUUGCGAAU